rnacentral:tRNA from 1 species
GGGCCGGAAGCUUAAGUGGUAUAAGCCGUCGACUCAUAAUCGACUGAUAGUGGGUUCGAGUCCCACCCGGUCCACCA